CCCUUAGAUUUUCUGGCCCGCACGCGCGAUACACUGAGGGAGCCAGCGAGUAUUUCCUUGGCCGGAAGGCCCGGGUAAUCUUGUGAAACUCCGUCGUGCUGGGGAUAGAGCAUUGCAAUUAUUGCUCUUCAACGAGGAAUCCCUAGUAAGCGCGAGUCAUCAGCUUGCGUUGAUUACGUCCCCUGCCCCAUGAACCCGCCCC
rnacentral:rRNA from 1 species